CGGCGGCCCGCUCACCCCCGGAACCCCGCCGCCCGCUCGGGCGCCUCUACUUGCCGGUGGUCUCCGCGUGCCUCCCUGGGGGACGGGGGUGGGAAUAGAAGCUUUUUUUGUAAUGAGAAUAGAGGCGCUCCCGGAAGUCCCCUCCCCUAGGGCACGUUAGGGGCGGGCUCCCCUGGUGCCUGAAAUUCCACUGUUCCAGAUAUUCUUUGGAAGGGUAGCGUGGAGGGGUGGGGAGGUGCCGUCUUAAACUUUUAUUGGAUAUUUUAACAGCGAGGAUGCUGUUAAAAUAGUCAGUGCUCAAUAAAUUUGUUAAAUGACUGACUGAAACGUGCCUGGGAAGGGACCUGAAAGGAGUAGGCAGUCUUUCAUUCCCUCUCUCAGACAGGCUUUUCGUAGUGCUCAUUUGCCAGGCCCAACCCGAAGGUGACUCAGAGCCAACAGUCAUACAGCCAGGGCGGGAGUUGUGAAAGGCUAGUUUUCCCUGCCAUGCUUUGCCUUUUAUUAAUCACUGGACAGCUGAGCCUCCUUUCUCCAGGAUGUCUGCCUUGACUUUUUGGGUGAACUGUUACAGGCAAGCUUUGGCCUUCCUGGACCUCUGCAGUUACCCAGAGAACAACCAAGAGAAUUUCCAAGGUGCUCCUUCUGACAAGUGUUCACAGGUGGCCCCCCGAAGGAGUUAACGACAGAAGGCCCAGGAAACCAUGACCUAGCACCCCCAAAGUCCUAGGAGCUUCUGCCUUUACUCCUGUGGGUUUGGCUGUUAGGUCGACAGUGGGAGAGAUGGAGAGAGGGCCUUUCUGCACACUGGGUGGACCCUGCCCUCCAGCAUACCCGUUGGCCGGAAACCGAAGCUGAUGAGAGUCUCUGCAGAUCUGAUGAUGGUUAAGUUCAGCAUCAUCUCAAUAUUUAAGCACAGAUCACCAUCGGGAAGGCAGAAGAAGCAGAUCCCAAUCCCUUAUCAGUCUUCCCAACGGGUUUCUAUUGCAUGCACAAUAAAGUUCAAACUCCGUA